rnacentral:rRNA from 1 species
UACGUAGGGUGCAAGCGUUGUCCGGAAUUAUUGGGCGUAAAGAGCUCGUAGGCGGUUUGUCGCGUCUGCUGUGAAAACUCGGGGCUUAACCCCGAGCCUGCAGUGGAUACGGGCAGACUUGAGUUCGGUAGGGGAGACUGGAAUUUACGGUGUAGCGGUGAAAUGCGUAGAUAUCGUAAGGAAGACCAGUGGCGAAGGCGGGUCUCUGGACAGUUCCUGACGCUGAAGCACGAAGGCCAGGGGAGCAAACGGG